rnacentral:rRNA from 1 species
CCUUGGAACAGGGUAUCGGAGAAGGUGAGAAUCCUGUGCCGUGGCGUGGAGCGGCCGCACGAUGCGUCCUUGUCGAGUCGGGUUGCUUGGGAUUGCAGCUUGAAGUGGGUGGUAAAUUCCAUCUAAAGCUAAAUACGGGCGAGAGACCGAUAGCGAACAAGUACCGUGAGGGAAAGAUGCAAAGAACUUUGAAAAGAGAGUCAAAGAGUGCUUGAAAUUGGCAGGAGGAAACCCGGUUGCGCCCCGCGUCGCCUU